rnacentral:tRNA from 1 species
GAGGUCUUAGCUUAAUAAAAGUGUCUGUUUUGCAUGCAGAAGAUGUGGGAUAGUAACCCGUAGGUCUUA